AUUGAACGCUGGCGGCAGGCCUAACACAUGCAAGUCGAACGGUAACAGGAAACAGCUUGCUGUUUCGCUGACGAGUGGCGGACGGGUGAGUAAUGUCUGGGAAACUGCCUGAUGGAGGGGGAUAACUACUGGAAACGGUAGCUAAUACCGCAUAACGUCGCAAGACCAAAGAGGGGGACCUUCGGGCCUCUUGACAUCGGAUGUGCCCAGAUGGGAUUAGCGAGUAGGUGGGGUAACGGCUCACCUAGGCGACGAUCCUUAGCUGGUCUGAGAGGAUGACCAGCCACACUGGGACUGAGACGCGGUCCUGACUCCUACGGGAGGCAGCAGUGGGGAAUAUUGAACAAUGGGCGCAAGCCUGAUGCAGCCAUGCCGCGUGUAUGAAGAAGGCCUUCGGGUUGUAAAGUACUUUCAGCGGGGAGGAAGGGAGUAAAGUUAAUACCUUUGCUCAUUGACGUUACCCGCAGAAGAAGCACCGGCUAACUCCGUGCCAGCCGCCGCGGUAA
rnacentral:rRNA from 1 species